GACGAACGCUGGCGGCGUGCUUAACACAUGCAAGUCGAACGGAAAGGCCCUGCUUUUGUGGGGUGCUCGAGUGGCGAACGGGUGAGUAACACGGGAGUAACCUGCCUUUGACUUUGGGAUAACUUCAGGAAACUGGGGCUAAUACCGGAUAGGAGCUCCUGCUGCAUGGUGGGGGUUGGAAAGCUUCGGCGGUUGGGGAUGGACUGGCGGCUUACCAGCUUGUUGGUGGGGUAGUGGCCUACCAAGGCUUCGACGGGUAGCCGGCCUGAGAGGGUGACCGCCCACAUGAGGCCUGAGGUACGGCCCAGACUGCUAUGGGAGACAGCGGUGGGGAAUAUUGCACAAUGGGCGGAAGUCUGAUGCAGCGACGCCGCGUGUGUGAUGACGGCCUUCGGGUUGUAAACCGCAUUCGCCUGAGACGAAGCGUGAGUGACGGUAAUGGGUAAAGAAGCACCGGCUAACUACGUG
rnacentral:rRNA from 1 species